rnacentral:rRNA from 1 species
UUUCGGAUCGUAAAGCUCUGUUGUUAGGGAAGAACAAGUGCAAGAGUAACUGCUUGCACCUUGACGGUACCUAACCAGAAAGCCACGGCUAACUACGUGCCAGCAGCCGCGGUAAUACGUAGGUGGCAAGCGUUGUCCGGAAUUAUUGGGCGUAAAGGGCUCGCAGGCGGUUUCUUAAGUCUGAUGUGAAAGCCCCCGGCUCAACCGGGGAGGGUCAUUGGAAACUGGGAAACUUGAGUGCAGAAGAGGAGAGUGGAAUUCCACGUGUAGCGGUGAAAUGCGUAGAGAUGUGGAGGAACACCAGUGGCGAAGGCGACUCUCUGGUCUGUAACUGACGCUGAGGAGCGAAAGCGUGGGGAGCGAACAGGAUUAGAUACCCUGGUAGUCCACGCCGUAAACGAUGAGUGCUAAGUGUUAGGGGGUUUCCGCCCCUUAGUGCUGCAGCUAACGCAUUAAGCACUCCGCCUGGGGAGUACGGUCGCAAGACUGAAACUCAAAGGAAUUGACGGGGGCCCGCACAAGCGGUGGAGCAUGUGGUUUAAUUCGAAGCAACGCGAAGAACCUUACCAGGUCUUGACAUCCUCUGACAACCCUAGAGAUAGGGCUUUCCCUUCGGGGACAGAGUGACAGGUGGUGCAUGGUUGUCGUCAGCUCGUGUCGUGAGAUGUU